CCGGGUGGGAGCCUCCCCAAGUGGGUGGUGGGUUGAGGACAGGGUCUGGCCUCCAUCUGUGGGGACCUGGCUUUCCAGCCGUGAGAUCUUUCAGAUUGAUAGCUCAGUCCAUAUGGAAGAAGUACCUUUGCGAGUGUGAUAAACCUGCCGCGGAGCCACUGUGGAAGGCUGCAGACGGCUCCCCGGGGGCAGCGGCAUUUCAUCACGGAGAAUUGGCAGAGGGGCCAGGUUCACUCCCUGCGUGGCAGCUGAAGUCUGGGGCACCAGGUCUGCCCACCACGGCACCCAUGGGAGUCUUCCCUCACGGCACCCCCCUGGUUGGUGGCUUCUGCUUAGAGGUGUGGGGACGUGUGCAUCUGUCAGAGGCGGGGACGAAGGCACCAGGCCAGCCACCUCCAGACCCAGGAUCUCCUGGAAUCCUCUCAAUAUCCUGGCAGGUUGGGGUUUCCACCCCAAUUUGUACUUGGAGAAAAGGAAUUUCAGAAACAUCACCUAAUCACCUUGUCUAAGGCUGAACUCUGCCUGGAAAUACCUUCCUCACUCAAAAUCUUUUAAUGCCUCCAUCAUUCCUUUGUUCAACUGAUUUUCAUCACAUGCUCUUCUGAGUGCUGAGGGCUGGGGCAGUGAAUUAGGCAGACAAGGCCCUGCCUUCAUGGACCUGGUGUUCUAGUCGGUGGGGGGCAGACCAAGCCAGUGGUUCUCAACACAGCUGGAC
rnacentral:lncRNA from 1 species